UCCUUUGUCUCCAAAGCUUCUAGAACGUUCCACCGAGUUUACGUGGUCGAGCAAGGCACGAGCCUUCUUCACUUCUUCUCGUACAGUCGCACAAAGCGUGAGUAGAGUCCGAGAUCCCUUAAAUUGAGUUAGAGUGCCGUAACCCCGUGAUAUUUCGAUUCGAACAGGUAAUCCAAGCGAUUCCAAUAGAAGGAAGGCGAGCGAGCGUUAGAAAGAAGGUGAUCCGAACGAAACGCUAGAUUUACGCGUGAAAGAUUUAGUGAUAAAAAUUGUGGCCUCCAUAAUGUACGCAAAACAGCUCCGUUUGAUGGUGACUUCCGAUGGGUGGCAGCUGAUAUCUUCCAUGUUUUCCGAAGAAAUACUCCCCCAAAAAUUACAAUGUUUACUUGAAUAUAUGUAUAAAAUGUACUCAAAGUUUCAUGAAAUUAUGUACAUUUCUUUCAUACUAAAAAAAAUUCAUACAGAUCACUAAAAAAACGUAGUCCCAAACCUAUUUCCACCCUUAAUAAUGAGAAUUUGAUAAUAUACUGCACAACAAAAUUAUUCUUCAAAAUUUUGACAUUUUACAAGCGUGCAUGUUUUAGUUUCAUUAUAUGACCCCGUUGCUAGUCACUUCCAAAGUAUUUUGUGACCCCAAAUAUUAUUUGACUUAUG